rnacentral:rRNA from 1 species
AUAUACGACCGUACCGCAAACCGACACUGGUGCGCGAGAUGAGUAUUCUAAGGCGCUUGAGAGAACUCAGGAGAAGGAACUCGGCAAAUUGACACCGUAACUUCGGAAGAAGGUGUGCCCUAUUAGUGUGUAGUGAACAACGAAGCAUGAAUGGGUUGCAAAAAAUCGGUGGCUGCGACUGUUUAUUAAAAACACAGCACUCUGCAAACACGAAAGUGGACGUAUAGGGUGUGACGCCUGCCCGGUGCUGGAAGAUUAAAUGAUGGGGUGCAAGCUCUUGAUUGAAGUCCCAGUAAACGGCGGCCGUAACAAUAACGGUCCUAAGGUAGCGAAAUUCCUUGUCGGGUAAGUUCCGACCUGCACGAAUGGCGUAACGAUGGCCACACUGUCUCCUCCUGAGACUCAGCGAAGUUGAAAUGUUUGUGAUGAUGCAAUCUCCCCGCGGAAAGACGGAAAGACCCCAUGAACCUUUACUGUAGCUUUGUAUUGGACUUUGAACAGAUCUGUGUAGGAUAGGUGGUAGGCUUUGAAGCAGGGUCGCUAGAUCUUGUGGAGCCAACGUUGAAAUACCACCCUGGUGUGUUUGAGGUUCUAACCUAGGUCCAUUAUCUGGAUCGGGGACAGUGCAUGGUAGGCAGUUUGACUGGGGCGGUCUCCUCCCAAAGCGUAACGGAGGAGUUCGAAGGUACGCUAGUUACGGUCGGACAUCGUGACGAUAGUGCAAUGGCAUAAGCGUGCUUAACUGCGAGACUGACAAGUCGGGCAGAUGCGAAAGCAGGACAUAGUGAUCCGGUGGUUCUGUAUGGAAGGGCCAUCGCUCAACGGAUAAAAGGUACUCUGGGGAUAACAGGCUGAUACCGCCCAAGAGUUCAUAUCGACGGCGGUGUUUGGCACCUCGAUGUCGGCUCAUCUCAUCCUGGGGCUGUAGCCGGUCCCAAGGGUAUGGCUGUUCGCCAUUUAAAGAGGUACGUGAGCUGGGUUUAAAACGUCGUGAGACAGUUUGGUCCCUAUCUUCCGUGGGCGCUGCAGAUUUGAGGAAGCCUGCUCCUAGUACGAGAGGACCGGAGUGGACACACCUCUGGUGUAUCGGUUGUCACGCCAGUGGCAUUGCCGAGUAGCUAAGUGUGGAAGAGAUAACCGCUGAAAGCAUCUAAGCGGGAAACUCGUUUCAAGAUGAGAUCUGCCGGGGCCUUGAGCCCCCUAAAGAGUCGUUCAAGACCAGGACGUUGAUAGGUCAGGUGGAAGC